GAGAACUGAUAAUCCGACAGGAUGGAAUGAUGGAGUAACGCCCUGAAACAUCCUACCUAAUACUCCGACGGGCUAUAUAAAACGAAAGUUAAAUAGUUCGAAGUUCGGUGAAGUCGGCAGAAGUUAACCUAAACUAAGUAAUAAUCGCUAGUAACAUUGGUACAAAAGAGACUAGAGUCCGCCCGUGUGAAUUGAUUAUGAAAGGCAUGGAUGACGAUAUGCCGGGGUCUAUAAA
rnacentral:ncRNA from 1 species